rnacentral:rRNA from 1 species
UACGUAGGGUGCGAGCGUUGUCCGGAAUUAUUGGGCGUAAAGAGCUCGUAGGCGGUCUGUCGCGUCGGUCGUGAAAACUUGGGGCUUAACCCUGAGCUUGCGGUCGAUACGGGCAUGACUGGAGUUCGGCAGGGGAGACUGGAAUUCCUGGUGUAGCGGUGAAAUGCGCAGAUAUCAGGAGGAACACCGGUGGCGAAGGCGACUUUCUGGCCUGUUCUUGACGCUGAGGCGCGAAAGCUAGGGGAGCAAACGGG